AUGAACGCUGGCGGCGUGCCUAAUACAUGCAAGUCGAGCGAACAGAUGGGGAGCUUGCUCCUCUGACGUUAGCGGCGGACGGGUGAGUAACACGUGGAUAACCUACCUAUAAGACUGGGAUAACUUCGGGAAACCGGAGCUAAUACCGGAUAAUAUAUUGAACCGCAUGGUUCAAUAGUGAAAGACGGUUUUGCUGUCACUUAUAGAUGGAUCCGCGCCGCAUUAGCUAGUUGGUAAGGUAACGGCUUACCAAGGCAACGAUGCGUAGCCGACCUGAGAGGGUGAUCGGCCACACUGGAACUGAGACACGGUCCAGACUCCUACGGGAGGCAGCAGUAGGAAAUCUUCCGCAAUGGGCGAAAGCCUGACGGAGCAACGCCGCGUGAGUGAUGAAGGUCUUCGGAUCGUAAAACUCUGUUAUUAGGGAAGAACAAAUGUGUAAGUAACUAUGCACGUCUUGACGGUACCUAAUCAGAAAGCCACGGCUAACUACGUG
rnacentral:rRNA from 1 species